rnacentral:rRNA from 1 species
UGAAUUUAAGCAUAUCACUAAGCGGAGGAAAAGAAACUAACCAGGAUUCCCUCAGUAACGGCGAGUGAACAGGGAUUAGCCCAGCACCGAAGCCCGUGUCCAUUUGGAUGCAGGGCAAUGUGGUGUGUAGGUGGGUGCGUUUGUGUGCUGCUCCUUCCCAAGUCCAAGCUUGAAUAUGGCCCUUGAUGAGGCCCAGAGAGGGUGAAAGGCCCGUGGGGAUGGAGUGGUGCGUGAGUGCGCCUGCCGUGGAGUCGGGUUGUUUGUGAAUGCAGCCCAAAGUUGGUGGUAAACUCCAUCUAAGGCUAAAUACUGGCACGAGUCCGAUAGCGAACAAGUACCGUGAGGGAAAGU